rnacentral:rRNA from 1 species
UACGUAGAAGACUAGUGUUAUUCAUCUUUAGUAGGUUUAAAGGGUACGUAGACGGUGAAAUUAAUCUACACGAUAUGUUUUCACUAGAGUUAUAUAUGAGGAGGGGAGUAUUUAUGGAGUAGAGUUGAAAUUCAUUGAUACCAUGACGACUGGUAACGGCGAAAGCAACCUUUUAUCUAAUAACUGACGUUGAGGGCCGAAGGC